GACAGAGGGUGCAAACGUUGUUCGGAAUUACUGGGCGUAAAGCGCGUGUAGGCGGCCAAGUAAGUCGGGCGUGAAAUCCCACGGCUCAACCGUGGAAGUGCACUCGAAACUGCAUAGCUAGAGUCCUGGAGAGGAAGGUGGAAUGCUUGGUGUAGAGGUGAAAUUCGUAGAUAUCAAGCGGAACACCGGUGGCGAAGGCGGCCUUCUGGACAGUGACUGA
rnacentral:rRNA from 1 species